UGGGGAAUAUUGGACAAUGGAGGAAACUCUGAUCCAGCAAUUCUGUGUGUGUGAAGAAGGUUUUAGGACUGUAAAACACUUUUAGUAGGGAAGAAAAAAAUGACGGUACCUACAGAAGAAGCAACGGCUAAAUACGUGCCAGCAGCCGCGGUAAUACGUAUGUUGCGAGCGUUAUCCGGAAUUAUUGGGCUUAAAGGGCAUCUAGGCGGUAAGACAAGUUGAAGGUGAAAACCUGUGGCUCAACCAUAGGCUUGCCUACAAAACUGUUGAACUAGAGUAUUGGAAAUGGUGGUGGAACUACACGAGUAGAGGUGAAAUUCGUAGAUAUGUGUAGGAAUGCCGAUGAUGAAGAUAACUCACUGGACAGAAACUGACGCUGAAGUGCGAAAGCUAGGGGAGCAAACAGG
rnacentral:rRNA from 1 species